GAUGAAUGCUGGCGGCGUGCCUAACACAUGCAAGUCGAGCGGUAACAGGUCUAGUUUACUAGAUGCUGACGAGCGGCGGACGGCUGAUUAACGCGUGGGAACAUGCCCCACAGUGAGGGAUAACCGCUCGAAAGAGUGGCUAAUACCGCAUAUGGUCUUCGGAUUAAAGGAUUUAUCCCCUUUGGGAGUGGCCUGCGUACAAUUAGAUAGUUGGUGAGGUAAAGGCUCACCAAGUCGACAAUAGUUAACUGUUCUGAGAGGAUGAUCACUCAGACAGGAACUGAGACACGGUCCACACUCCUACGGGAGGCAGCAGUGGGGAAUCUUCCACAAUGGGCGAAAGCCUGAUGGAGCAACGCCCCGUGCAGGAGGAAGGCCUUCGGGUUGUAAACUGCUUUUAUAAGUGAAAAAAAUGACGGUGACUUAUGAAUAAGCACCGGCUAACUACGUGCCAGCAGCCGCGGUCAUACAUAGGGUGCAAGCAUUAUCCGGAGUGACUGGGCGUAAAGAGUUGCGUAGGUGGUUUGUUAAGUGAAUAGUGAAAUCUGGCGGCUCACCCGUACAGACUAUUAUUCAAACUGGCAAACUCGAGAAUGGUAGAGGUAACUGGAAUUUCUUGUGUAGGAGUGAAAUCCGUAGAUAUAAGAAGGAACACCAAUGGCGUAGGCAGGUUAGUGGACCAUUUCUGACACUGAGGCACGAAAGCGUGGGGGAGCGAACCGGAUUAGAUACCCCGGGUAGUCCACGCCGUAAACGAUGGAUACUAGCUGUUGGAGGUAUCGACCCCUUCAGUAGCGAAGCUAACGCGUUAAGUAUCCCGCCUGUGGAGUACGGUCGCAAGACUAAAACAUAAAGGAAUUGACGGGGACCCGCACAAGCGGUGGAUUAUGUUCUUUAAUUCGAUGAUAACCGAAGAACCUUACCAGGGUUUGACAUCCUUGGAAUUACUAUGAAAGUAGUGAGUGCUUUAUUGAGCCAAGUGACAGGUGAUGCAUGGCUGUUGUCAGCUCGUGUCGUGAGAUGUUUGGUUAAGUCCAUCAACGAGCGCAACCCUUGUGAUUAGUUGUAUUUUUCUAAUCAGACUGCCCCGGUAACGGGGAGGAAGGAGGGGAUGAUGUCAGGUCAGUAUUUCCCUUACACCCUGGGCUAGAAACGUAAUACAAUGGCCAGUACAAUGCGCAGCGAAGCCGCGAGGUGGAGCAAAUCGCAUCAAAACUGGUCCCAGUUCGGAUAAGAGGCUGAAACUCGCCUCUUUGAAGUCGGAAUCGCUAGUAAUCGCAGAUCAGCAAGCUGCGGUGAAUACGUUCCCGGGUCUUGUACUCACCGCCCGUCAAGG
rnacentral:rRNA from 1 species